CAUUUAUUGUAGAAUCCCAUGAGAAGGGAACAGUCCAGGUGUGAGCAAAAAAGGGAAGUGAAAGUACUCACAGCCAGAAAGCUGAAGAGUCAGCGAAUACAUACAACUUUUAUAGAUUUUGUUACAAGAGAUUAUAUCACAAGUUAGAGAGCACUGACAGAUAUGGGGCCAUCUAAUUGGUUGUGGCUACUUGAAAGGAUUGGAAGAGAAGGUUUCAGUUUCCCCAAAAUCCUCUGAUUUCCAGGAAAAUGCAACUCAGGCCUUCAGGCUUUAGAUAAUCACUCCGACAGUGGUCAAGCUAAUAGACUAAAUAUUGAUAAAUGCCAAAUCCUGAUAAACAUCACUAAUGUUAAGUAAAUAUGUCUGCAUAUAUUAUACGUAUGCAGGAUACAAGGAAAUAACAAAAAGGGGAAUUCAUACAAUAUUUAUCUUGUAAGUGCUUCAUCUUUCCAUAUCAAUUCUAAUGUGUUUAGAUUUAUUGACUGGAAAACUGCCUGUUUAUAUCCUUUAACUAUUUAUCAGUUGGGGAAUGACACAGUUGGGGAUUUGACAGAUUACUACAGCUAGAUUACUAUUUGAAUUUCCCUCCACUGUCGUGACUGUUGUAAAGAAGGAGUUAACCAAGGGGCUGCUCUGAAGAGUCAACUGAGGAUAAGAAGUAAACAAGUCCGGAACAGAAUGACAAGCACUAACAGCUAUGUCCGGGAAGAAGUACUUAGAAGCAUUUAUUCCACACCACUCUGUUCUUGACAUUUAAAAACUGCUGAGUUGUGCCCUAAUGUAAACCAUCUUUGUCUUAAUACCAUUAUAUAACCACUUUAAUGAGCCUUAAGUGUAUUUACUUGGAGCUAACGAACUAUGAUAUCAUUGCAUAAGAAACUGUAUAAAACGAGUAGCCAUGGUACAAUUAAACGAGCUUCUCAUAUCACUUUUGAUGUGUAGUUGUCUCCCUGCGGCAAAUGGUGACCCCGACGUGAUUUCAAUACCGCAGCUGCAUCCCGCAGGAGCUGAAGGAGCUCUGACCAAAGACAGGUCGGCGUCCCAUCACAGAGGACGGACCCGUGGCCAUGGCUGACCGGUCACCGAAAUCGAUGGGUACCAGCAAAAUGGGUGCAUCCACAAUUAUCAUCCUCUGCUUCUUGAUCAACGCCUCUCACACCGUGAUGACACAACUCCAACUGACUGCAACAACAGGAAACAUUUGGAUUAGGAUUGCUAAUGCUACUAAGCAAGACCAUUUGUGUUUAUCCCUUGAUAAUGUAGAUGAUCCAUUUAAGACUUGCUUUGUAGGAUCUCCUCUAGAAAUGCAUGAGUUGCUCAUAAGAUUUAAUACCACUAUGGAUGUGUACAACUUAAACUGUAACCAAACUGCUACUGCACCUUAUUGUCAUAUGUAUAAAAAUAAUACUUAUAGAUGGCCCUCAUAUAGACAUGCAUGCGCUUUAAAAAUCUUAUUGCACGCCCUGUUUGUAGUGGCUAGAAACUGGAAAAUGAAUGGAUGCCCAUCAAUUGGAGAAUGGCUGGGUAAAUUGUGGUAUAUGAAUGUUAUGGAAUAUUAUUGUUCUGUAAGAAAUGACCAGCAGGAGGAAUACAGAGAGGACUGGCGAGACUUACAUGAACUGAUGCUGAGGGAAAUGAGCAGAACCAGGAGAUCAUUAUACACUUCGACAACGAUAUUGUAUGAGGACAUAUUUUGAUGGAAGUAGAUUUCUUUGACAAAGAGACCUGAGUUUCAAUUGAUAAAUGACGGACAAAAGCAGCUACACCCAAAAAAACAACACUGGGAAACGAAUGUGAACUAUCUGCAUUUUUGUUUUUCUUCCCGGGUUAUUUAUACCUUCUGAAUCCAAUUCUCCCUAUGCAACAAGAGAACUGUUCGGUUCUGCAAACAUAUAUUGUAUCUAGGAUAUACUGCAACAUAUCCAACAUAUAAAGGACUGCUUGCCAUCUAGGGGAGGGGGUGGAGGGAGGGAGGGAGGGAAAAAAAAUCGGAACAGAAACGAGUGUCAAUAUAAAGUAAUUAUUAAAUAAAAAUAAAAAAAAAUUAAAAAAAAAAAAGAACCAAGUCAAAAAAAAAAAAUCUUAUUGCACUCACUUCAACAUCCUCCCCCUAAUUUCCCUCAAGCUGUCUCUCUGUUGUCUAGCCUUCCCCCCGGCGUUCUUGAAAAUGUAACACAUUUGUCUGACUGCUCAACAUUCAUUGAUCCGCAAUUAUACUCCUUCUAUGGGAUAGUUUAUUUUGAACCACCUAAUGACAAACAUCCCGGAACAGGCAGCUGAAAGCCCAGAACACAAUGGAAAACAUUUACUUCCCUCACUCAAUUGUCUCAUUGGGGACACCUUUAUAGUGGUGCACUUUCUCUUACACUAGAGGGCCCUUUAGCUUUGCCCCCAGGAACAUUCCUGAUCUGUGGGGAUACUGCUUGGACUGCCAUCCCUUAUAGACCUGUUGGGGGUCCUUGCUAUGUCGGUCAACUUUCAUUAUAUCAGGUAAAUAUGACCUUACAUCAAGAAGUAAGAACACGUGUUCGAAGAGAACUGCAUGAGCUACCCCCUGAUUGCAUAGACGAUGUAGAAUUCGUAUCUACAGGCACUGCGGUUUUUCUUUCCCUCCUUACUCCGCAAAGUAUGUCAGCACUAAAUUAUAAGGUUCUAAAGAAAUUGGCCUGUUGGGUUCGGAAUAAUUCUAACCUUACUUCCUCUAUACUUUCCGAUAUAACGCAACAACUUUCUACCUUUUCUCAUGCCACGUUACAAAAUAGAGCUGCUAUAGAUUUUCUCCUUCUUUUGCAUCAUCAUGAUUGUUCCGAAUUUCAAGGACUUUGUUGCUUUAACCUUACUGAUAACACUCCCUCUAUAAGACAAAAGAUAAACAAAAUUCGAGAGGAGCUCCAUAAAAUUAAGAUUUCGUCUAACACAUUAGAAGAUUGGUUCAGAUCCCUAAGUAUUCCUAACUUCCUCUUAUCCUUGAUAUCCCCUAUUCUGACCAUUAUCAUCUUAAUUGUUUUAUUUUGUUUGUGUGCACCCUACAACUGACAGAAACUUGUCUCCUUAGAAUGAUGUCUCGUUUCACAAAAAAAGGGGGAGAUGUUGUGGCUGUUGUAAAGAAGGAAUUAACCAAGGGGCUGCUCGGAAGAGUCAACUGAGGAUAAAAAGUAAACAAGUCCGGGAACAGAAUGACAAACACUAACAGCUAUGUCCGGGAAGAAGUACUUAGAAGCAUUUAUUCCGCACCACCCUGUUCUUGACAUUUAAAAACUGCUGAGUUGUGCCCUAAUGUAAACCAUCUUUGUCUUAAUACCAUUAUAUAACCACUUUAAUGAGCCUUAAGUGUAUUUACUUGGAGCUAACGAACUAUGAUAUCAUUGCAUAAGAAACUGUAUAAAAUGAGUAGCCAUUGUACAAUUAAACGAGCUUCUCAUAUCA